AACGAACGCUGGCGGCAGGCUUAACACAUGCAAGUCGAACGCAUCCUUCGGGGUGAGUGGCAGACGGGUGAGUAACGCUGUGGAACGUGCCCUUCAGUUCGGGAUAACCCAGGGAAACUUGGGCUAAUACCGGAUACGUGCGAGAGCAGAAAGAUUUAUCGCUGAAGGAUCGGCCCGAGUCUGAUUAGCUAGUUGGUGAGGUAAUGGCUCACCAAGGCGACGAUCAGUAGCUGGUCUGAGAGGAUGAACAGCCACAUUGGGACUGAGACACGACAAAAACUCCUACGGGAGGCAGCAGUGGGAAAGAUUGGACAAUGGGCGCAAGCCUGAUCCAGCCAUGCCGCGAGAGACAGGAAGACCUUAGGGUUGUAAAGCGAGGGAGUCCGGGACGAUAAUGACGGUACCGGAAGAAGAAGCCCCGGCUAACUUCGUGCCAGACGCCGCAGUAAGAC
rnacentral:rRNA from 1 species